rnacentral:lncRNA from 1 species
AAAAUUUGACCCAAGACUCUAUAAGAGUUAUGGACAUGAUGAUUCCUAAUCUUAAGUAUGUUAAGAUAUGAGGUUGUCCAGCUUUUGUGAAAAGGUUUCAAAGGUUAUGUUUAGAAAUUUUGUUUGACUAAGUACAGAUUUGUGGGACAUCCUAAAGUAAGUUUAGGGUAUAUGUUUUAUAAUCAUACUUAGCAAAAGGCAUUUUUUACAACACAAUCUACCUUCUAAGAUAAUUGUGUUUAUCACUGAAGGGGCUAGUGGGAGGAUAAUAGAUCUUGAAGUGUUCAAGAACCACAAAGUACUAUAAGUCAAAUAAGAGGAACCUGUAGAUAGACCUAUUUUACCACAACUGAAUUAUAAAUCUGGAAUAGUAACGAAGAUACCUAGGAGGUAUGGAUUCAUUAUAGAUGAUGAUGAUGAUGAUGAUGAUGAUGAGGUACACAUCAUAGAAGAUGAUGAUCCAGUUACAUACGAUGAGGUAAGAGUUGUAGACACUUAGAAAAUUGGAUUGAAGCAAGAUUCUCAAAAAUGGAACAUUCGUUUUGAUAAGAAAAUCAAAAGAGUUUGAUUUUAUCAAAAAUAAGAAUGAACCUAGUGUGUACAAAAGGGUCAGUGGGAGCGUCGUGACAUUCCUAGUAUUAUAUGAUGAUAUAAUACGGAUAAGGAAUGGCAUAUCAAUGUUAUAAUCAGUAAAGAUUAAGUUAUCUAAACAUUACUCUAUGAAUAAUUUGGGAAGAGUAUCUAAAUUGGGGAUACAAAUCUAUAUAGAUAGAUUUAAAAGGAUGCUCGGCUUAACCCAAGGAAUGUAUAUUCAUUUGACAUGUCAAACUCCUAGUGAUGUCUCAUGUUGAUGAGCCCUGAAGUGUAUCUCUCUUAAUAGUCCCCAUAGACUCCUAAAAGAGAGAUCGCAUGAGUAACUAUCAUGUAUUCAAUAAAAUGUACGAGACCUAAUGUUGAUCACUCAUAUUCUAAAGAAGAUCAUUGUAAGACAGUUGAAAAUAUCUUAAAGUACUUUAACGACACUAAGGAUGUGAUCAUAUUUAUGGUGGGUCUGAAUUAAAACUAGAGGGAUUAACAGACUCAAGUUUUUUAGACUGACCAAGACGACAACAAAUCCACUUUAGGGUAAAGCAUUACCUUGAAUGGUGGUGCAGUGAAUUAGAAAGGUUCCAAAAAAAUAAAGAUUUUUGGUUUUAGUGAUAAAGGCAAAGUAUAUAUAGCUGUAAAUGAAGCUGUAAGUUGAUUAUUUGGAUUAAAAGUUCAUUAUAGAACUAGGAAUAGUUCCUAAAUCUCAUCUUGGAUUUAAACAUGUGGUUGCGGCACUUUCAUUUGAUUAGAGGAAUCAUUGAAAGAUAGGAAAUCACUAUAGAGAUAGUGGACUCUCAAGAACAACAUUACAUAUCCAUUAACUAAAGCUUAUCCAACAACAGGAUAAUAG